GGCGCGUUGGUCAAGCGGCUAAGACGCCGCCCUCUCACGGCGGAAACAGGGGUUCGAUUCCCCUACGCGCUA
rnacentral:tRNA from 1 species